CCUACGGGGGGCAGCAGUGAGGAAUAUUGGUCAAUGGACGCAAGUCUGAACCAGCCAUGCCGCGUGCAGGAAGACGGCUCUAUGAGUUGUAAACUGCUUUUGUACGAGGGUAAACGCAGAUACGCGUAUCUGUCUGAAAGUAUCGUACGAAUAAGGAUCGGCUAACUCCGUGCCAGCCGCCGCGGUAAUACGGAGGAUUCAAGCGUUAUCCGGAUUUAUUGGGUUUAAAGGGUGCGUAGGCGGUCUGAUAAGUUAGGUGUGAAAUCCCGAGGCUCAACUUCGGAAUUGCAUCUGAUACUGGUAGUCUUGAGAGUAGUAGCGGUAGGCGGAAUGUAUGGUGUAGCGGUGAAAUGCUUAGAGAUCAUACAGAACUCCGAUUGCGAAGGCAGCUUACCAGGCUACUUCUGACGGUGAUGCACGAAAGCGUGGGGAGCAAACAGGAUUAGAUACCCGAGUAGUC
rnacentral:rRNA from 1 species